GAGGUUGUAGCUCAGUCGGUAGAGCAACGGACUUUUAAUCCGUAGGUCUCGGGUUCGAGCCCCGACAGCCUCA
rnacentral:tRNA from 1 species